rnacentral:sRNA from 1 species
GCCGCCCGGCGCGCGCCGCCCCCCUGCCUCGCGGCGCGGGGUCUCGCGGGCCCCGCUCCCGCCCUCCGCUCGCCUGGCCCGGACCGGAAGCGGCGCCGCACGGCCUGGGCCUGGCGCGGGGGGCGGGCACCGGGGCCCGGUCGGACAUGGGCAAGAAGCACAAGAAGCACAAGUCGGACAAACACCUCUACGAGGAGUAUGUAGAGAAGCCCUUGAAGCUGGUCCUCAAAGUAGGAGGGAACGAAGUCACUGAACUCUCCACGGGCAGCUCGGGGCACGACUCCAGCCUCUUCGAAGACAAAAACGAUCAUGACAAACACAAGGACAGAAAGCGGAAAAAGAGAAAGAAAGGAGAGAAGCAGAUUCCAGGGGAAGAAAAGGGGAGAAAACGGAGAAGAGUUAAGGAGGAUAAAAAGAAGCGAGAUCGAGACCGGGUGGAGAAUGAGGCAGAAAAAGACCUCCAGUGUCACGCCCCUGUGAGAUUAGACUUGCCCCCUGAGAAGCCUCUCACAAGCUCUUUAGCCAAACAAGAAGAAGUAGAACAGACACCCCUUCAAGAAGCUUUGAAUCAACUGAUGAGACAAUUGCAGAGAAAAGAUCCAAGUGCUUUCUUUUCAUUUCCUGUGACUGAUUUUAUUGCUCCUGGCUACUCCAUGAUCAUUAAACACCCAAUGGAUUUUAGUACCAUGAAAGAAAAGAUCAAGAACAAUGACUAUCAGUCCAUAGAAGAACUAAAGAACUGCCUGAGACUAGGUAAUUUAUGAAGAAAAGAGCUUUGAUUAACUCACAGUUCCACAGGCUGUACAGGACACAUGGCUGGAGAGGCCCAAGGAAACUUACAGUCGUACUGGAACAUGAAGGGGAAGCAAGCACGUCUUCACAUGGCAGCAGGAGAGAGUGAAGGGGGAAGUGCUACACACUUUCUUUUUUUUUUUUUUUUUUUUAGAUGGUUUACAUUUUUUUAAUUUUUUUUUUUUUAAUUUAAGUUCUAGGGUACAUGUGCACAACGUGCAGGUUGGUUACAUAUAUAUUCAUGUGCCAUGUUGGUGCACUGAACCCAUUAACUCGUCAUUUACAUUAGGUAUAUCUCCUAAUGCUACCCCUUGCCCAUACCCCCACCUCACAACAGGCCCCGGUGUGUGAUGUUCCCCACCCUGUGUCCAGGUGUUCUCAUUGUCCAAUUCCCACCUAUGAGGGAGAACAUGCGGUGUUUGGUUUUCUGUCCUUGCCAUAGUUGGCUCAGAAACAGCUUCAUCCAUGUCCCUACAAAGGACAUGAACUCAUCCUUUUUAUGGCUGCAUAGUAUUCCAUGGUGUAUAUGUGCCACAUUUUCUUAAUCCGGUCUA